AUCCCGUGUAGCGUGAAUGCGUAGAGAUCGGGAGGAACACCAGUGGCGAGGCGGGUAACUGGACUGCAACUGACGCUGAGGCGCGAAAGUGUGGGGAGCAAACAGGAUUAGAUACCCCUGGUAGUCCACACUGUAAACGAUGAAUGCUAGGUGUAAGAGGUAUCGACCCCUUUUGUGCCGGAGUCAACACAAUAAAGCAUUCCGCCUGGGGAGUACGGCCGCAAGGUUGAAACUCAAAAGGAAUUGACGGGGGCCCGCACAAGCAGCGGAGCAUGUGGUUUAAUUCGACGCAACGCGAAGAACCUUACCAGGUCUUGACAUCCACUUAAGCCCAUAGAGAUAUGGGGUGUCUUCGGACGAAGUGAGACAGGUGGUGCAUGGUUGUCGUCAGCUCGUGUCGUGAGAUGUUGGGUUAAGUCCCGCAACGAGCGCAACCCUUACCAAUAGUUACUAACGUGUAAAGGCGAGGACUCUAUUGGGACUGCCGGGGACAACUCGGAGGAAGGUGGGGACGACGUCAAAUCAUCAUGCCCCUUAUGACCUGGGCUACACACGUGCUACAAUGGCCGUUACAGAGAGGAGCGAAAGCGCAAGCUGGAGCAGAUCUCAAAAAAGCGGUCUCAGUUCGGAUUGUGGGCUGCAACCCGCCCACAUGAAGUCGGAGUUGCUAGUAAUCGCGGAUCAGCAUGCCGCGGUGAAUACGUUCCCGGGCCUUGUACACACCGCCCGUCACACCAUGGGAGUUGAUA
rnacentral:rRNA from 1 species